rnacentral:rRNA from 1 species
AUACGUAGGUGGCAAGCGUUGUCCGGAAUUAUUGGGCGUAAAGCGCGCGCAGGUGGUUCCUUAAGUCUGAUGUGAAAGCCCCCGGCUCAACCGGGGAGGGUCAUUGGAAACUGGGGAACUUGAGUGCAGAAGAGGAUAGUGGAAUUCCAAGUGUAGCGGUGAAAUGCGUAGAGAUUUGGAGGAACACCAGUGGCGAAGGCGACUGUCUGGUCUGUAACUGACACUGGGGCGCGAAAGCGUGGGGAGCAAACAGGAUUAGAUACCCUGGUAGUCCACGCCGUAAACGAUGAGUGCUAAGUGUUGGGGGGUUUCCGCCCCUCAGUGCUGCAGCUAACGCAUUAAGCACUCCGCCUGGGGAGUACGGUCGCAAGACUGAAACUCAAAUGAAUUGGCGGGG